UGAGUGUGGCUGGAGCCUGAACGCGGUUGGGAACCGGAGCCGGGAGCCGGGGCCUUCCCCCGGCCCGCCCCGUUUCCCGCUGCGGAGGAAGCGGCGAGGCCGCCGCUCCCGGCGGAUGUCCGGCCGCGGCCAUGGCGCUGCCGGAGGCGGGAGCCCGCGGGCGGCUGCUGCGCUGGCCCCGCGUCGUUCUCUUCGGAGACUCCAUCACUGAGUACUCCUUCCAGGAAAAUGGCUGGGGGGCAUACCUUGCUGAGAGACUGGUCAGAAAAUGUGAUGUUGUGAACCGUGGGAUCUCAGGGUACAACACCAGAUGGGCAAAAUUGAUUCUUCCAAGACUGAUCACUGAAAGUACUAGUCCUGACAGUAUUGCUGCAGUUACUAUUUUCUUUGGAGCUAAUGACAGUGCUUUGAAAGAGCUGAACCCCAAGCAGCACGUGCCUCUGGAGGAGUACGCCGCCAACCUGAAGAGCAUGGUGCAGUACCUGAAGUCAGUAGACAUUACUGCAGACAAGAUUAUUUUGAUAACACCCCCACCUCUUCAGGAAUCAGCUUGGGAAAAGGCAUGUCUUGCCAAAGGUGAGAAACUGAACCGCAGCAACGGCACCACGGGGCAGUACGCGCAGGCCUGCGUGCAGGCCGCCCGGGAGUGCGGCACCGAGGUGCUCGACCUCUGGAGCCUGAUGCAGAGGAAUCAGGAUUUCUCUUCCUAUUUGUCUGAUGGUCUUCAUUUAUCAACAAAAGGCAACAGCUUUCUAGCAGCUCAGCUGUGGUCACGCCUGGAAAACAAACUGUCUGCUCUUCCUUCACUGCUUCCUUACUGGCGUGACGUGGACCACACGAACCCCGAGGCCAGUCUUCUGUGACAGCCCUGCAGGGAGGAGCCAGACAGAGCCAGCUCAUUGUCCACCAACGUGCUGCAAACUGUAUCCUCAGCGAACAGGACACUGGGGAGUGCCCAGCAAUGCUCUCCUCUGUCCCCUUCUCUUGGUCUGUGGGAGAAUAAAGGCACCUGCCACUGCAUGGUUUUCACCUGGGAUGUAAAGACCUUUGUGUUGAGAACAUGUACUCACAGAUCUGGGAGCUGAACAGCAUUUGAGCACAGCCCCAUUCCUCAGGCAUUUCGUGUCACCAUCUGAACUGAUGAUAAUCUGCAGGACACAUGGCAGUACCAGCUCCAGCCCUCAUGGUGCAGGUCUGGCCUCUGCAGCAGCUGAGCUCAGAAAGGAGCAGUCAGAAAUCCUGCCUGGCUGCAUGCCAGACUUUUAACCCAGGCUUUGACAACCAGAGAAUGGAGAUCUUUUAGAAGAGGACGGCAUAGAAACAGCUCUUGUUUAACUGAUUUUUUUAAUAAAAAAAGCUUUUAUUUUAUUUUGUUGGGAAUUAAAUUAACUCCUCACAUGUGUACUUUGCACUGAAUCAAAAAAAGAAACCUGAACAAAAACAAACAACCCCAAACAAAGUUCAAAACCAUUAUAUAAAACAUCAUAGCUAGUCAGACAGGAAUACCAUAAGGCACACAUUCAAGUAACUAGUGUAACAAGUAUCCUUGGGUGUGGAGGAGAGGGAGCACUCACACAGCUUUGCAGCACAGGUUCAGUUCCUUUCCCUCACAUUUAAAAACAUGGGCUCACCGCAGCCGCGCUUCCCUGUGCCUGAGUCCAGGCUUGCAAGAGUUAAAUGGUUCUGCCCUUGGCCACGUUCUGUCAGUUUAAUCAAUAGAUUAUUGUGGGAGAAACCAGCUGCAGAAUGAAGGUGCUGCUGUACUGCCAGGACAGUUGCUCUGUGACUCCACUCUGUCAGUCCAUCUGCUGCCAAGCUAAAACAACGCUCAUGUGCCAGUCCCAGCUCACCUGAGGGAUCUCCAGCUGUACAGAAGACACCAUCCAAUUUUCAGCUUCUUACAUCAUGUUUUACUACCUGUGUGAGUAUCUGUAUUCACAAAAUCUCCUCCUUAUACUUACCCUGCAAGUUUUACAAAGGUUUAUUUCUUUAUUCAAUUCACAAUUGUUUUUAAACAAAUGCCUCCCCUGCAAUGGAGUGAUUUUUUCCCAUCAUUCAUGCAGUAGGAGCUUCCAAAGGCCACAGAGACCACAGAAAACUGAGCUCAGUAAUUUGAAAAUUUCAACAAUAGUGUUGCCUGUUUUAAAAUAACAUUUGGAGAAACAUUUCUGCACCAAAACUGCUGUAAACAGCAGUUUAAAAUGUCAUCUGCAUAAAUUAUUUCUUUAAGCUUCUUUCUCCAACCAGACACCUGCGACACACAAACCUUAGUGCAGAGUGGGAAGCUCCCAACAAAAGCCACCACGACAAGGCAGCCUCACCACUGAGGCAGAAGAGUUUCAUGCUAGAGGAGCAUUUCUCAUGCACCAUGUACAGCCAGUCCAGUGUAACAGCCUCUGUGAUCCUUUUAUUUAUACAGAAGCUGGGCCUUUUAUGUUGCUUUAUUCUGAUUAUGCAUUGUACUGAAUGCUGCAAGACUGUAUUUUUAUCCAUUUCAUUACACUCUGUUCUCAAGGCAUUUGCUUAGGCUUUUGGUUACAUGUACCUUAAACUGCUAAAUUAUCUACUCUAUUAUGGAACAUACUGCAGAGUUCAUUUUGGUUUUAAAAGCCCCUUAAUUUUGUCUAUCAGUGCUGUGAGACUACAAAAUAUUAAAUUAUAAAAAAAGGCUGAUAUACACAAUCCAAUAUCCAUCAGGACAUUUGGCUUUGCACCACAGGUUGAAGGAAAUGUUAAAGGUCAAGGAAGUAGAAAAACAAAUCCAAAAAGCUUCAAAAACAAGCCAGUUCUAGUUCGGAUUUUCCUUUUUAAAAGAUAUAAUGCUCUAAUAAAUGUAGUUUAAGGAAGGUCAUACACAUGACCAGCAUCUGCAGUAGGUCACUUCCUUAUUCUCCCA